rnacentral:rRNA from 1 species
UACGUAGGGUGCGAGCGUUGUCCGGAAUUAUUGGGCGUAAAGGGCUCGUAGGCGGUUUGUCGCGUCGGGAGUGAAAUCCACUGGCUUAACUGGUGGCUUGCUUUCGAUACGGGCAGACUGGAGGUAUGCAGGGGAGAACGGAAUUCCUGGUGUAGCGGUGAAAUGCGCAGAUAUCAGGAGGAACACCGGUGGCGAAGGCGGCAUCCUGGACCGAUACUGACGCUGAGGAGCGAAAGCCAGGGGAGCAAACGGG